GAUGAACGCUGGCGGCGUGCCUAAUACAUGCAAGUCGAGCGAACAGAUGAGGAGCUUGCUCCUCUGACGUUAGCGGCGGACGGGUGAGUAACACGUGGAUAACCUACCUAUAAGACUGGGAUAACUUCGGGAAACCGGACCUAAUACCGGAUAAUAUAUUGAACCGCAUGGUUCAAUAGUGAAAGACGGUUUUGCUGUCACUUAUAGAUGGAUCCGCGCCGCAUUAGCUAGUUGGUAAGGUAACGGCUUACCAAGGCAACGAUGCGUAGCCGACCUGAGAGGGUGAUCGGCCACACUGGAACUGAGACACGGUCCAGACUCCUACGGGAGGCAGCAGUAGGGAAUCUUCCGCAAUGGGCGAAAGCUUGACGGAGCAACGCCGCGUGAGUGAUGAAGGUCUUCGGAUCGUAAAACUCUGUUAUUAGGGAAGAACAAAUGUGUAAGUAACUAUGCACGUCUUGACGGUACCUAAUCAGAAAGCCACGGCUAACUACGUG
rnacentral:rRNA from 1 species